rnacentral:rRNA from 1 species
UAGGGAAUCUUCCGCAAUGGACGCAAGUCUGACGGAGCAACGCCGCGUGAGUGAAGAAGGAUUUCGGUUCGUAAAACUCUGUUGUUAGAGAAGAACAGCGCAUAGAGUAACUGUUAUGCGUGUGACGGUAUCUAACCAGAAAGCCACGGCUAACUACGUGCCAGCAGCCGCGGUAAUACGUAGGUGGCAAGCGUUGUCCGGAUUUAUUGGGCGUAAAGCGAGCGCAGGCGGUCAAUUAAGUCUGAUGUGAAAGCCCCCGGCUCAACCGGGGAGGGUCAUUGGAAACUGGUUGACUUGAGUGCAGAAGGGGGGAGUGGAAUUCCAUGUGUAGCGGUGAAAUGCGUAGAUAUAUGGAGGAACACCAGUGGCGAAGGCGACUCUCUGGUCUGUAACUGACGCUGAGGCUCGAAAGCGUGGGUAGCAAACAGG